GACGACGACGUCGAUCCUUCUGUACUGCCGAUCGAUGUGCUAGCUUGAGUGGUUCGGUUUGAAGGGGUUUAAGGGGGAUUGGAGGGGAUUCAAUCCCCUUCUAUAUAAAUUUGUAUAGAAGGGGAUUGAAUCCCCUCCCAUCCCCCUCAGGGCUUGUUCGUUUAGACCAAUCCAGAGGGGGAUUGGUCUAAGCGAACAUGCCCUCAAUCCACCCCUAACCGAACAGGGCCUAAUGUGUGAUGUAUAUAUGCUAUGCUAGUUUAGAUGUGUCCAUGUCAAAACCCAUCCGAUAUGCUUCAGUUUAUCCAUCCAUGUAGCUGUUUAUGAACCAAUCGGAACAGGUUUGGUCAUGGAUUGGUGACUGACGCUGCUGGCACGAUGAAGCAGAUCGAGGGGGGGUCCUGUUCUCGCCAUUUUCCUGGAGCAUUUGGAAAUGUCCGUGUUCCCCACUUGUUUGAAGGAGCGUUUCAUGUGAAAUGGGAAACCACGGCUUCGGAUUCUGCUAGUCUGUGCGUAGAGAUAAGGCUCAGGAGCUGCCUCGGUCUUGCUCAGGUUCAGAGAAGCUCGCAAGUCGGCUGAGCCUAAUUUUAUGGCUCGAUCAAACAUUAAACCAGCUCACGAGUCUGCUAGAUCAUAUAGUGGCAUAUUGUGACACUAUUACAUUGUUAUUACAUUGUUAUGUUAUUGAUUUAUUUUUUUUAUUUUUUAUAGAUCUAAUGCUAAAUAUAAUUUAAUAUAUAUUUUUAUUUUAUAUAUAAUAAAAAC
rnacentral:lncRNA from 1 species